rnacentral:rRNA from 1 species
UACGAAGGGGGCUAGCGUUGUUCGGAGUUACUGGGCGUAAAGGGCGCGUAGGCGGCGCACCAAGUCAGGCGUGAAAGCCCUGGGCUCAACCCGGGAAUUGCGCUUGAGACUGGUGUGCUUGAGUACGGGAGAGGAUAGUGGAAUUCCCAGUGUAGAGGUGAAAUUCGUAGAUAUUGGGAAGAACACCGGUGGCGAAGGCAGCCUUCUGGGCCAACACUGACGCUCAUGCACGAAAGCGUGGGGAGCAAACAGG